CGCCAUCACUGUAGCACUGCGCGUUUUCAACCAAUUGAGCCACAGCUGAGCUUCCGCACAUGCGGAGAAGGAUCUUUGAGGUGGAGCCCGCGAAAUAGGCGCAUGCGCUCUGCCCCUCAGUCGGUAUGGCUGUGUUGAGGCGUUUAAACUUGCCGCCCACUAUCUCUUCACCGCUAGUUUUGAGCCAAGCCUGGGAGGCCGUUACUGCGCCUGCGCGCGGGCCUCUGGCGGCAGAUUUAUUUUCUAAUACAUACUUCCAUUCAAAUUGUGGCUGGUCGUCUGCAUACUCAGAGGAAAGUGUAGAAGUGGCCCAGGACACAGAACUCCAUGAAGCCAGCCAUCCAGAUUCCUCCUCAUUGCAGCUCUGCCAUCCUCAGGUUGUGGACUUCAUAUCCUGUCCAUGAUGACUGGUUCUGCUACACGUCUACUAUUCCAGCCAGCAGAAAGAAGGAAGAGAUGAAGAAGGGCACAUAUGCCAGCAGUUACCUACUGUUGCAGUGUAGAUCUAAAAUGCCCCCCAAAGCUUCAUGUGUUUGGAUGACUCAAGGGGGUGCAUCCAGCGGAUGACUUCAGCAGCUGAGGGAGCUGUUGGGAGGGAAAUUCGUCCAAGGAAGCAGAGGACCUGUCCACGUCACACAGCAAGUAAGAGUGAAGGCCAGACCCCAGGACUCCUGACUCCCAGCACUGCUGUCUCUAAUAACUGCCCCAUCUGGGCAUGGAACAUUUGGAAAAAAUGUUCCUGCAUCUUUGAGCCUUUCUUAAUUAAGUCUUACAUUUUAUCCCAAAGAAGACUUCUUUGAGACUGCUGGUGGGAAAGUGAGGUUUGGCAGUCCAGUCUGGAAGUCAUGAGGCAACAGGGAAAAACAGGCAAACAAUCCUGGGAUGUAUUUUGCUGUUUCAGUCCUUCAAAAACAGCAGAACAAAACACUCAGACCCAAACUGGGGUUCUGGCCAGCAGGGCACUGAAUCAACUUGGACAGAAUUCACUAAGUGGAUCCUCCUCCUUCUUUCCUAAAAUGGUGGAGCCUUUGGAGAGGUACUGUUUUCUGGUUUGUCUGGAGUUUCAUUAAGGUAAAUCAAGCAAACAAACAAACAAACAAACAAACAUGUUUCACCAGGCCCCAGAGAAUUAAACCAUAAACAAGCUCCAGGUACAUCUCCUCUUGCUCGGCCAUACUGCUGAACAAGUCCUUCAUCGCCCAGGAUCUGACCAUCCUUCACGAUGCUGGCAGCCAGGGGGCAGUAUCCUCCCUCAGCCCCGUCCUAGGGAUUCUGGGCCCCAGCUGCUUCACUGUUUGCAGGGCUGCUGUAAUAAAUACCUUGGACUUGACUGGGCAGCUUAAAUAACAGAAAUUUAUUUCCCACGGUGCUGGAGAUCAAGGUGUUGGCAGGCAGGGUUGGUUUCUCCUGAGGCUUGGCUUGGCUUGCAGAUAGCCAGCUCUGUGCCCUGGCUACUUUCCUUACCAGUGGGAUGAGGGACGGUGAGUUCAGAAGGAAGUGAGCCUCUGGGGCCUAAAUAACCCAAGGGAACGAAUACAUACAGUUGCAGCAACACUGCUCCAUCUGGCUAAUGCUGGAUUUCAUUUCACCUGAGAUUAUUUCUUUUCUUUUUUUUCCCUUUUGGAAAAAUAUUCUCUAAAAAAAAAAUUUUUAGUGCAUGUUUGCAGUACAUAAUGUUUACAUUCCUCUUGUGAAGUUAGUACAUGCGCAUAAUGCAUUCUAAUUCCUUUUUUCAUCCUCUUCCCCCUCCCCUCCCUCCAUCUCUUUUUUUAUUUUGGUACUGGGGAUCAAACUUGGGUCCUUGCACUUGAGCAGCGGGCAUCGAAACCACUGAGCUAAACCCCGGCCCCUCCCUCCAUCUCUUGAUCUCUGCACAUUUGAGAAAGAUCUCCCUACUUCCUAUUAUCUUUUAAUUUGCUCGACAAAAGUUUAUGUUCUACCACAUAAGAAUAAAAACUAUGAAUUAUAAUUGUAAGAUACUAUCAAUUGUUAAGCCUCAUUCUGAUUUCAGAGAUGCUGGAAUUUGAAAAAUAAUGUGUAUCUUGGGACUGAUGAGAGAUAGUACAUCCCACUUGUUGACUUUUGGCAGUGAGGAUCUACAUCAAGGGAACCAGGCAAGGCCAUUAGACCUGGUGCCUCAGAUUCUGGCUUGCUGCUCAAUAUCUCAGUUUUAUGAAGAGUAGAGUGGUCAAGUGUCAUCCUAACUGAGGCUCAUCACUGCCAGAACUAGCUAAAUCCAUGCUUGGGAAACAGAUCCAAACAUCUGCUUAGACCCUCCCUUGAACUUUUAGUGGACCUUGUAAAAUGAGGCCAGAGCUUUGAGUUCUUGCUCCAACCUAGGGAUUGAAAGAAGAGAGGCUUGAAAGUAGAGGGCUUUGCAUGCUUAUGAGAGAGAAAAAGGGCUGGGAGUCAGGGGCUGUUGGUCCUAGCCUUGGUUCCUCUGUCCUUGGACAUGGACUAGGCAAGUUCCUCUAGCUCUCUGGUCCCGUUUCCUCAGGGGUAAAGCAGUGAAGCUUAAUCACUCAUUGA